rnacentral:rRNA from 1 species
UGAAGAGUUUGAUCAUGGCUCAGAUUGAACGCUGGCGGCAGGCCUAACACAUGCAAGUCGAACGGUAACAGGAAGCAGCUUGCUGCUUCGCUGACGAGUGGCGGACGGGUGAGUAAUGUCUGGGAAACUGCCUGAUGGAGGGGGAUAACUACUGGAAACGGUGGCUAAUACCGCAUAACGUCGCAAGACCAAAGAGGGGGACCUUCGGGCCUCUUGCCAUCAGAUGUGCCCAGAUGGGAUUAGCUAGUUGGUGAGGUAACGGCUCACCAAGGCGACGAUCCCUAGCUGGUCUGAGAGGAUGACCAGCCACACUGGAACUGAGACACGGUCCAGACUCCUACGGGAGGCAGCAGUGGGGAAUAUUGCACAAUGGGCGCAAGCCUGAUGCAGCCAUGCCGCGUGUAUGAAGAAGGCCUUCGGGUUGUAAAGUACUUUCAGCGGGGAGGAAGGUGUUGUGGUUAAUAACCACAGCAAUUGACGUUACCCGCAGAAGAAGCACCGGCUAACUCCGUGCCAGCAGCCGCGGUAAUACGGAGGGUGCAAGCGUUAAUCGGAAUUACUGGGCGUAAAGCGCACGCAGGCGGUCUGUCAAGUCGGAUGUGAAAUCCCCGGGCUCAACCUGGGAACUGCAUUCGAAACUGGCAGGCUUGAGUCUUGUAGAGGGGGGUAGAAUUCCAGGUGUAGCGGUGAAAUGCGUAGAGAUCUGGAGGAAUACCGGUGGCGAAGGCGGCCCCCUGGACAAAGACUGACGCUCAGGUGCGAAAGCGUGGGGAGCAAACAGGAUUAGAUACCCUGGUAGUCCACGCCGUAAACGAUGUCUACUUGGAGGUUGUGCCCUUGAGGCGUGGCUUCCGGAGCUAACGCGUUAAGUAGACCGCCUGGGGAGUACGGCCGCAAGGUUAAAACUCAAAUGAAUUGACGGGGGCCCGCACAAGCGGUGGAGCAUGUGGUUUAAUUCGAUGCAACGCGAAGAACCUUACCUGGUCUUGACAUCCACGGAAGUUUUCAGAGAUGAGAAUGUGCCUUCGGGAACCGUGAGACAGGUGCUGCAUGGCUGUCGUCAGCUCGUGUUGUGAAAUGUUGGGUUAAGUCCCGCAACGAGCGCAACCCUUAUCCUUUGUUGCCAGCGAUUAGGUCGGGAACUCAAAGGAGACUGCCAGUGAUAAACUGGAGGAAGGUGGGGAUGACGUCAAGUCAUCAUGGCCCUUACGACCAGGGCUACACACGUGCUACAAUGGCGCAUACAAAGAGAAGCGACCUCGCGAGAGCAAGCGGACCUCAUAAAGUGCGUCGUAGUCCGGAUUGGAGUCUGCAACUCGACUCCAUGAAGUCGGAAUCGCUAGUAAUCGUGGAUCAGAAUGCCACGGUGAAUACGUUCCCGGGCCUUGUACACACCGCCCGUCACACCAUGGGAGUGGGUUGCAAAAGAAGUAGGUAGCUUAACCUUCGGGAGGGCGCUUACCACUUUGUGAUUCAUGACUGGGGUGAAGUCGUAACAAGGUAACCGUAGGGGAACCUGCGGUUGGAUCACCUCCUUACCUUAAAGAA